rnacentral:rRNA from 1 species
UACGUAGGGUGCAAGCGUUGUCCGGAAUUAUUGGGCGUAAAGAGCUCGUAGGCGGUCUGUCGCGUCUGCUGUGAAAACCUAGGGCUUAACUCUGGGCGUGCAGUGGGUACGGGCAGGCUAGAGUGCGGUAGGGGAGACUGGAAUUCCUGGUGUAGCGGUGAAAUGCGUAGAUAUCAGGAGGAACACCGGUGGUGUAAACGGCUUUCUGGACCAUAACUGACGCUGAGGAGCGAAAGCCAGGGGAGCAAACGGG